rnacentral:rRNA from 1 species
AACGAACGCUGGCGGCAUGCCUAACACAUGCAAGUCGAACGAACUCUUCGGAGUUAGUGGCGCACGGGUGCGUAACGCGUGGGAAUCUGCCCUUGGGUACGGAAUAACUCAGAGAAAUUUGUGCUAAUACCGUAUAAUGACUUCGGUCCAAAGAUUUAUCGCCCAAGGAUGAGCCCGCGUAAGAUUAGCUAGUUGGUGGGGUAAAAGCCUACCAAGGCGACGAUCUUUAGCUGGUCUGAGAGGAUGAUCAGCCACACUGGGACUGAGACACGGCCCAGACUCCUACGGGAGGCAGCAGUGGGGAAUAUUGGACAAUGGGCGAAAGCCUGAUCCAGCAAUGCCGCGUGAGUGAUGAAGGCCUUAGGGUUGUAAAGCUCUUUACCCGGGAUGAUAAUGACAGUACCGGGAGAAUAAGCUCGGCUAACUCCGUGCCAGCAGCCGCGGUAAU